rnacentral:misc_RNA from 1 species
UUCUGUUUUGUUUUUUGUUUUUUUUUCUCUUUGCAAGAGUACAAGUCUCUAAUAUCAAGCUUCUAUGUCAUGUGUUGCUGAAAAGCCUUCAUAUGAUUUUUGUUUGUUUGAAAAUUGCACAGUUAAGAGACAAUAUUAGGAGUAUAAAUGCAAUUAGAAAGACAGGUGUGGAUUGGCUUCAAUCCUUUACGAUGCCAUAUGCUUGGGUCUCAAAGUAAUUGUGUGCGUGAUGCAUACGAAUCCUCAAACGGGAUUCAUAGCAUGGAAGCAAGUUGAAUUCAUCUAAUGGGCUUAGGUGACUGAUUUGUGUGUGUGACCAUGCAUGUUAGCUACCAUCUCAGUGGUCAAGUUCUAUGUAUGGGAUCUUCACACUACAAUCAAGCUUUAACCACUGGAUUAUCU